AAGUUGUUGCAGUUAAAAGCUCGUAGUUGGAUUUCUGGUGGGGGUGUUUGGCCGGCUCAAUGAGUUUUGCGCCUAUACGUCUCCGCCAUCCUUGGGGAAAACUUGCUUGGCAUUAGGUUGUCGAGUUUGGGAUCCCCAUCGUUUACUGUGAAAAAAUUAGAGUGUUCAAAGCAGGCUUAUGCCGUUGAAUACAUUAGCAUGGAAUAAUAAGAUAGGACCUUGGUACUAUUUUGUUGGUUUGCGUACCUAGGUAAUGAUUAAUAGGGGCAGUUGGGGGUAUUCGUAUUCAAUUGUCAGAGGUGAAAUUCUUGGAUUUAUGGAAGACGAACUACUGCGAAAGCAUUUACCAAGGAUGUUUUCAUUAAUCAAGAACGAAAGUUAGGGGAUCGAAGAUGAUUAGAUACCAUCGUAGUCUUAACCAUAAACUAUGCCGACUAGGGAUUGGCGGUCGUUUUUCCGACUCCGCCAGCACCUUAUGAGAAAUCAAAGUCUUUGGGUUCCGGGGGGAGUAUGGUCGCAAGGCUGAAACUUAAAGAAAUUGACGGAA
rnacentral:rRNA from 1 species